AAGCAGAAGACCUGGCUGAUCGGAGAGACUUUGCUGAAGCAGGACAGGAGCAGGGUGGAAGAUUACGUGUGCUUCAGCCUGCCCUACCUGUGGGACUCCCAGACCAGCGUGAGAUUGGAGGCCAUCAGGUUCAUGGGGACUGCUGCA